ACUGAACGCUGGCGGCAUGCCUUACACAUGCAAGUCGAACGGCAGCACGGGAGCAAUCCUGGUGGCGAGUGGUGAACGGGUGAGUAAAGUAUCGGAACGUGCCCAGUCGUGGGGGAUAACGUAGCGAAAGUUACGCUAAUACCGCAUACGCUCUAUGGAUGAAAGCGGGGGAUCGCAAGACAUCGCGCGAUUGGAGCGGCCGAUAUCAGAUUAGGUAGUUGGUGGGGUAAAGGCUCACCAAGCCGACGAUCUGUAGCUGGUCUGAGAGGACGACCAGCCACACUGGGACUGAGACACGGCCCAGACUCCUACGGGAGGCAGCAGUGGGGAAUUUUGGACAAUGGGCGAAAGCCUGAUCCAGCCAUGCCGCGUGCAGGAUGAAGGCCUUCGGGUUGUAAACUGCUUUUGUACGGAACGAAAAGGUUUGGGCUAAUAAGCUGAGCUCAUGACGGUACCGUAAGAAUAAGCACCGGCUAACUACGUGCCAGCCGCCGCAGUAA
rnacentral:rRNA from 1 species